UACGUAGGGGGCGAGCGUUAAUCGGAAUUACUGGGCGUAAAGCGUGCGCAGGCGGUUCGUUAUGUCCGAUGUGAAAGCCCCGAGCUCAACUUGGGAAUGGCAUUGGAAACUGGCGGGCUGGAGUGUGGCAGAGGGGGGUGGAAUUCCACGUGUAGCAGUGAAAUGCGUAGAGAUGUGGAGGAACACCGAUGGCGAAGGCAGCCCCCUGGGCCAACACUGACGCUCAGGCACGAAAGCGUGGGGAGCAAACAGG
rnacentral:rRNA from 1 species